rnacentral:rRNA from 1 species
GAUGAACGCUGGCGGCGUGCCUAAUACAUGCAAGUCGAGCGAACAGACGAGGAGCUUGCUCCUCUGACGUUAGCGGCGGACGGGUGAGUAACACGUGGAUAACCUACCUAUAAGACUGGGAUAACUUCGGGAAACCGGAGCUAAUACCGGAUAAUAUAUUGAACCGCAUGGUUCAAUAGUGAAAGACGGUUUUGCUGUCACUUAUAGAUGGAUCCGCGCCGCAUUAGCUAGUUGGUAAGGUAACGGCUUACCAAGGCAACGAUGCAUAGCCGACCUGAGAGGGUGAUGCGCCACACGGGAACUAAGACACGGUCCAGACUCCUACAAGAGGCAGCAGUAGUGAAUCCUCCGCAAUGGGCGAAAGCUUGAUGGAGAAACGCCGCGUGAGUGAUGAAAGUCUUCGGAUCGUAAAACUCUGUUAUUAGGGAAGAACAAAUGUGUAAGUAACUAUGCACGUCUUGACGGUACCUGCUCAGAAAGCCACGGCUAAAUACGUG